AGUGGGGAAUAUUGGACAAUGGGGGCAACCCUGAUCCAGCCAUGCCGCGUGUGUGAAGAAGGCCUUUUGGUUGUAAAGCACUUUAAGCAGGGAGGAGAGGCUAAUGGUUAAUACCCAUUAGAUUAGACGUUACCUGCAGAAUAAGCACCGGCUAACUCUGUGCCAGCAGCCGCGGUAAUACAGAGGGUGCGAGCGUUAAUCGGAAUUACUGGGCGUAAAGCGAGUGUAGGUGGCUCAUUAAGUCACAUGUGAAAUCCCCGGGCUUAACCUGGGAACUGCAUGUGAUACUGGUGGUGCUAGAAUAUGUGAGAGGGAAGUAGAAUUCCAGGUGUAGCGGUGAAAUGCGUAGAGAUCUGGAGGAAUACCGAUGGCGAAGGCAGCUUCCUGGCAUAAUAUUGACACUGAGAUUCGAAAGCGUGGGUAGCAAA
rnacentral:rRNA from 1 species